rnacentral:tRNA from 1 species
GCACGAUAGCUCAGUUGGUAGAGCAGCGGAUUUGUACUCCGGCGACCCAGGUUCGAAACCAAGUCAAUGCG